rnacentral:rRNA from 1 species
GGCGUCUACGGCUCCGACACGCUGGCGCUGGCGCCGGGCAGCACGGUGGGCACGUUCCUCUUCGGGUGUGGCCACGCGCAGGCGGGGCUGUUCGCCGGCAUCGACGGGCUCCUCGCGCUCGGCCGGCAGGCCAUGUCGCUCAAGUCGCAGGCGGCGGGCGCGUACGGCGGGGUCUUCUCCUACUGCCUCCCUUCGAAGCCGAGCUCCGCGGGGUACCUGACGCUGGGCGGGCCGAGCAGCGCGUCGGGGUUCGCGACGACGGGGCUGCUGACGGCGUGGGCCGCGCCGACGUUCUACAUGGUGAUGCUCACGGGCAUCAGCGUGGGCGGGCAGCCGGUGGCCGUCCCGGCGUCGGCGUUCGCGGGGGGCGCGGUGGUGGACACGGGGACGGUGAUCACGCGGCUGCCGCCCACGGCGUACGCGGCGCUGCGGUCGGCGUUCCGCGGCGCCAUCGCGCCCUACGGGUACCCGUCGGUGCCGGCCAACGGGAUCCUGGACACGUGCUACGACUUCAGCCGGUACGGCGUGGUGACGCUGCCGACGGUGGCGCUGACGUUCAGCGGCGGCGCGACCAUGGCCCUGGAGGCCCCCGGGAUCCUGUCGAGCGGGUGCCUCGCGUUCGCGCCCAACGGCGGCGACGGUGACGCGGCCAUCCUCGGCAGCGUGCAGCAGCGGUCCUUCGCGGUGCGCUUCGACGGCGGCACCGUCGGGUUCAUGCCCGGCGCGUGCUGA